rnacentral:rRNA from 1 species
UACGGGGGGGGCAAGCGUUGUUCGGAAUUACUGGGCGUAAAGGGCUCGUAGGCGGCCAACUAAGUCGGAUGUGAAAUCCCCAGGCUCAACCUGGGAACUGCAUCCGAUACUGGCGUGCUUGAGGACUGGAGAGGAGACUGGAAUUCAUGGUGUAGCAGUGAAAUGCGUAGAGAUCAUGAGGAAGACCAGUGGCGAAGGCGGGUCUCUGGACAGUUCCUGACACUGAGGCACGAAGGCCAGGGGAGCAAACGGG